UUACGGCCAUAUCACGUUGGGACAUCGAUUCCCGUACGAUCACCGAAGUUAAGCAACGUCGAGCCUGGCCAGUACUAGAUGGUUGACCGCUUGGGAAUACCAGAUACUGUAA